rfam:Myotis davidii contig16805, whole genome shotgun sequence.
GGCAGUUCUUGGGUGAUGCACCCUGGAAUUGGGCUCCUUCCUCUCUGGUUCCGGGUGUGUCAACCGAGAACCGCA